AUGGCACGGGUGAGGAGUUCCUGCAGCAUCUC
rnacentral:scRNA from 1 species